AAGAUGCGCGGUAGAGGAGCGUUCUGUAAGCCUGUGAAGGUGAGUUGAGAAGCUUGCUGGAGGUAUCAGAAGUGCGAAUGCUGACAUGAGUAACGACAAUGGGAGUGAAAAACUCCCACGCCGAAAGACCAAGGGUUCCUGCGCAACGUUAAUCGACGCAGGGUGAGUCGGUCCCUAAGGCGAGGCUGAAGAGCGUAGUCGAUGGGAAACAGGUUAAUAUUCCUGUACUUCUAGUUACUGCGAUGGAGGGACGGAGAAGGCUAGGCCAGCUUGGCGUUGGUUGUCCAAGUUUAAGGUGGUAGGCCGAACACUUAGGCAAAUCCGGGUGUUCAAGGCCGAGAGCUGAUGACGAGCUUUCUUUUAGAGAGCGAAGUGGUUGAUGCCAUGCUUCCAGGAAAAGCUUCUAAGCUUCAGGUAACUAGGAACCGUACCCCAAACCGACACAGGUGGUUGGGUAGAGAAUACCAAGGCGCUUGAGAGAACUCGGGUGAAGGAACUAGGCAAAAUGGCACCGUAACUUCGGGAGAAGGUGCGCCGGUGAGGGUGAAGUAUUUACUACGUAAGCCCAUGCCGGUCGAAGAUACCAGGCCGCUGCGACUGUUUAUUAAAAACACAGCACUCUGCAAACACGAAAGUGGACGUAUAGGGUGUGACGCCUGCCCGGUGCCGGAAGGUUAAUUGAUGGGGUUAGCGCAAGCGAAGCUCUUGAUCGAAGCCCCGGUAAACGGCGGCCGUAACUAUAACGGUCCUAAGGUAGCGAAAUUCCUUGUCGGGUAAGUUCCGACCUGCACGAAUGGCGUAACGAUGGCGGCGCUGUCUCCACCCGAGACUCAGUGAAAUUGAAAUCGCUGUGAAGAUGCAGUGUAUCCGCGGCUAGACGGAAAGACCCCGUGAACCUUUACUGUAGCUUUGCACUGGACUUUGAGCCUGCUUGUGUAGGAUAGGUGGGAGGCUUUGAAGCGUGGACGCCAGUUCGCGUGGAGCCAUCCUUGAAAUACCACCCUGGCAUGCUUGAGGUUCUAACUCUGGUCCGUAAUCCGGAUCGAGGACAGUGUAUGGUGGGCAGUUUGACUGGGGCGGUCUCCUCCUAAAGAGUAACGGAGGAGUACGAAGGUGCGCUCAGACCGGUCGGAAAUCGGUCGCAGAGUAUAAAGGCAAAAGCGCGCUUGACUGCGAGACAGACACGUCGAGCAGGUACGAAAGUAGGUCUUAGUGAUCCGGUGGUUCUGUAUGGAAGGGCCAUCGCUCAACGGAUAAAAGGUACUCCGGGGAUAACAGGCUGAUACCGCCCAAGAGUUCAUAUCGACGGCGGUGUUUGGCACCUCGAUGUCGGCUCAUCACAUCCUGGGGCUGAAGCCGGUCCCAAGGGUAUGGCUGUUCGCCAUUUAAAGUGGUACGCGAGCUGGGUUUAGAACGUCGUGAGACAGUUCGGUCCCUAUCUGCCGUGGACGUUUGAGAUUUGAGAGGGGCUGCUCCUAGUACGAGAGGACCGGAGUGGACGUACCUCUGGUGUUCCGGUUGUCACGCCAGUGGCAUUGCCGGGUAGCUAUGUACGGAAAAGAUAACCGCUGAAAGCAUCUAAGCGGGAAACUUGCCUCAAGAUGAGAUCUCACUGGGACCUUGAGUCCCCUGAAGGGCCGUCGAAGACUACGACGUUGAUAGGUCGGGUGUGUAAGCGCUGUGAGGCGUUGAGCUAACCGAUACUAAUUGCCCGUGAGGCUUGACCAU
rnacentral:rRNA from 1 species